rnacentral:rRNA from 1 species
CCUACGGGAGGCAGCAGUGGGGAAUAUUGCACAAUGGGCGCAAGCCUGAUGCAGCCAUGCCGCGUGUAUGAAGAAGGCCUUCGGGUUGUAAAGUACUUUCAGCGGGGAGGAAGGGAGUAAAGUUAAUACCUUUACUCAUUGACGUUACCCGCAGAAGAAGCACCGGCUAACUCCGUGCCAGCAGCCGCGGUAAUACGGAGGGUGCAA